GAUGAACGCUGGCGGCGUGCCUAAUACAUGCAAGUCGAGCGAACAGACGAGGAGCUUGCUCCUCUGACGUUAGCGGCGGACGGGUGAGUAACACGUGGAUAACCUACCUAUAAGACUGGGAUAACUUCGGGAAACCGGAGCUAAUACCGGAUAAUAUAUUGAACCGCAUGGUUCAAUAGUGAAAGACGGUUUUGCUGUCACUUAUAGAUGGAUCCGCGCCGCAUUAGCUAGUUGGUAAGGUAACGGCUUACCAAGGCAACGAUGCGUAGCCGACCUGAGAGGGUGAUCGGCCACACGGGAACUGAGACACGGUCCAGACUCCUACGGGAGGCAGCAGUAGGGAAUCUUCCGCAAUGGGCGAAAGCCUGACGGAGCAACGCCGCGUGAGUGAUGAAGGUCUUCGGAUCGUAAAACUCUGUUAUUAGGGAAGAACAAAUGUGUAAGUAACUAUGCACGUCUUGACGGUACCUAAUCAGAAAGCCAUGGCUAACUACGUGCCAGCAGCCGCGGUAAUAC
rnacentral:rRNA from 1 species